UCUUCGAUAGUAUAGUGGUGAGUAUCCCCGCCUGUCACGCGGGAGACCCGGGUUCAAUUCCCGGUCGGAGAG
rfam:Phycomyces blakesleeanus NRRL 1555(-) unplaced genomic scaffold PHYBLscaffold_1, whole genome shotgun sequence.